UACGUAGGGACCAAGCGUUGUUCGGAUUUACUGGGCGUAAAGCGCGCGUAGGCGGCUUAACAAGUCACUUGUGAAAUCUCCGGGCUUAACUCGGAACGGCCAAGUGAAACUGUCAAGCUAGAGUGCAGAAGGGGCAAUCGGAAUUCUUGGUGUAGCGGUGAAAUGCGUAGAUAUCAAGAGGAACACCUGAGGUGAAGACGGGUUGCUGGGCUGACACUGACGCUGAGGCGCGAAAGCCAGGGGAGCAAACGGG
rnacentral:rRNA from 1 species